CAGCCGCCGCGGUAAUACGGAGGGGGCUAGCGUUGUUCGGAAUUACUGGGCGUAAAGCGCACGUAGGCGGCUUGGUAAGUUAGAGGUGAAAGCCUGGAGCUCAACUCCAGAAUUGCCUUUAAGACUGCCGAGCUAGCAGGUGAGAGAGGUAAGUGGAAUUCCGAGCGUAGAGGUGAAAUUCGUAGAUAUUCGGAAGAACACCAGUGGCGAAGGCGGCUUACUGGCUCAUUCUAGACGCUGAGGUGCGAAAGCGUGGGGAGCAAACAGGAUUAGAGACCCCAGUAGUCCCUGUCUCUUAUAC
rnacentral:rRNA from 1 species